rnacentral:rRNA from 1 species
UACAGAGGGCUCAAGCGUUGUUCGGAUUCAUUGGGCGUAAAGGGUGCGUAGGCGGCGCGGUAAGUCGGGUGUGAAAUCUUGGAGCUUAACUCCGAAACUGCAUUCGAUACUGCCGUGCUUAAGGACUGGAGAGGAGACUGGAAUUCAUGGUGUAGCAGUGAAAUGCGUAGAGAUCAUGAGGAAGACCAGUGGCGAAGGCGGGUCUCUGGACAGUUCCUGACGCUGAGGCGCGAAAGCGUGGGGAGCAAACAGG